GACGAACGCUGGCGGCGUGCUUAACACAUGCAAGUCGAACGGAAAGGCCCUGCUUUCGUGGGGUGCUCGAGUGGCGAACGGGUGAGUAACACGUGGGUAUCCUGCCCUGGACUUUGGGAUAAUUUCAGGAAACUGGGGCUAAUACCGGAUAGUAGCCCCGGCUGCCUGGUGGGGGUGGGAAAGGUUCGGCGGUUGGGAAUUGACUCGCGGCUUAUCAGCUUGUUGGUGGGGUAGUGGCUGACCAAGGAUUUGAGGGGUAGCCGGCGUGCGAGGGUGACCGGCCACACUGGUACUGAGAUACGGCCCAGACUCAUACGGGCGGCAGCAGUCAGGAAUAUAGCACGAUGGGCGGAAGACUGAUGCAGCAACGCAGCGUGCGGGAUGAAGGACUUCGGGUUGUACACCGCUUGCGCCUGUGACGAAGCGUGAGUGACGGUAAUGUGUAAAGAAGCACCGGCUAACUCCGUG
rnacentral:rRNA from 1 species